CCAUUUUGUUGUCAUCUUCAGGCAGAGGGAAGCUUGGCAGAAUCUAUAGCUGCCCUUGCUAAAGUUGAUUCUGUCAAACAGAGAAUGGAAGCCGCGUAUGAGACUUUGCAGAAUGCUGCUGGGUUAACUCAACUAAGUUCUACUGUGGAAGAUGUUUUUGCCAGUGGUGAUCUUCCUCGGGCUGCAGAAACCUUGGCUAAUAUGAGGCAUUGCUUGUCUGCUGUUGGGGAAGUAACACUUUUUUCUUAGUGUUACAUCAAGUAGUGGGUUUGAUAUUCAUGAAGUUUCACCAUUUGACUUUUUCUCCUUCAACUCCUUCAUUUUAGGUCGCUGAAUUUGCUAAUGUUAGGAAGCAACUUGAGGUCUUAGAAGAUAGAUUAGAUUCAAUGGUACAGCCUCGUAUAACAGAUGCUGUAUCCAACUGCAAGGUUGACUUUGCGCAAGAUUUGCGUGGAAUCCUCAUUCGAAUUGGAAGAUUCAAGUCUUUAGAGCUACAUUAUUCAAAAGUUCACUUAAAGUCCAUAAAGCAGCUCUGGGAAGAUUUUGACUCAAGACAGCGAACUAGUAAGCUUUCUAGUGAGAGGAAUGAAGUGGAAAGGCUAUCAAGUAGUAACGAGUUUCAAUCAAGUUCACCUUCAAUUUCUUUCUCCAGUUGGUUGCCAAGUUUCUAUGACGAGUUGCUACUUUAUCUUAAGCAAGAAUGGAAGUGGUACAGUUCAUUCUUCUUUAGAAGCCUAAAUAUUUAGUCUCAUUUUGUGAAGAGUUGUUUGUUCAAAAGUAUAGAAAUAGACUGAUUAUUUCUUUACAAAUUUCAUGAUAACAUCACAUUAAAAUUGGUUGCCAUUAACAGCUGAAGCUAGUUAUUUUUGUGAGGAAAAGGAUUGCAUCCAUUUUUCUUUUAAAUGAACAUGGUCUAUUUCAUGAUCAUGUUUUAGUUUUUAAAAAUCUAAAGGUGAACAUAGUGUCAGGUCAUUUAAAGUUAGUUAUCAUUCCUUAUUUGGUGGGCCCAAUCUUAAAUAAUGUGGCACCUUGUACUCUUAGAUUUCUUCUCAAUAUGUCAUUAUGAGAGGAUCUGAUUCUCUUCACAAUUUUCAAUAGAAAGUGUGUUCGCUUUUGAUCGACACUUGCUUUA